GAUGAACGCUAGCUACAGGCUUAACACAUGCAAGUCGAGGGGCAGCACAGUGUAGCAAUACACGGGUGGCGACCGGCGCACGGGUGCGUAACGCGUAUCCAACCUUCCCGUUACUCUUGGAUAGCCUUCCGAAAGGGAGAUUAAUACAAGAUGGUAUUCAAAUUCCGCAUGUUAUUUGAAUUAAAGAUUUAUCGGUAACGGAUGGGAUGCGUGACAUUAGAUAGUAGGCGGGGUAACGGCCCACCUAGUCUACGAUGUCUAGGGGUUCUGAGAGGAAGGUCCCCCACACUGGAACUGAGACACGGUCCAGACUCCUACGGGAGGCAGCAGUGAGGAAUAUUGGUCAAUGGUCGGAAGACUGAACCAGCCAAGUAGCGUGAAGGAUGAAGGUUCUAUGGAUUGUAAAACUUCUUUUAUACGGGGAAUAAAACCUCCCACGUGUGGGAGCUUGUAUGUACCGUAUGAAUAAGCAUCGGCUAAACUCCGUG
rnacentral:rRNA from 1 species